AGAGUUUGAUCAUGGCUCAGAACGUACGCUGGCGGCACGCCUAACACAUGCAAGUCGAACGAAGUAGCAAUACUUAGUGGCAGACGGGUGAGUAACAUGUAGGUAUCUACCCUUUGGCCUGGAAUAACACGAGGAAACUUGUGCUAAUACCGGAUAAGUCUUUACGGAGAAAGCUUUAUGCACCAUUGGAUGAGCCUGCACUUGAUUAGUUUGUUGGUGGGGUAAUGGCCUACCAAGACUGUGAUCAAUAGCUGAUUUGAGAGGAUGAUCAGCCACAUUGGGACUGAGACACGGCCCAAACUCCUACGGGAGGCAGCAGUGGGGAAUCUUGCACAAUGGAGGAAACUCUGAUGCAGCGAUGCCGCGUGAGUGAAGAAGGCCUUUGGGUUGUAAAGCUCUUUCGUCGGGGAAGAAAAUGACUGUACCCGAAUAAGAAGGUCCGGCUAACUUCGUGCCAGCAGCCGCGGUAAUACGAAGGGACCUAGCAUAGUUCGGAAUUACUGGGCUUAAAGAGUUCGUAGGUGGUUGAAAAAGUUGGUGGUGAAAUCCCAGAGCUUAACUCUGGAACUGCCAUCAAAACUUUUCAGCUAGAGUGUGAUAGAGGAAAGCAGAAUUUCUAGUGUAGAGGUGAAAUUCGUAGAUAUUAGAAAGAAUACCAAUUGCGAAGGCAGCUUUCUGGAUCAUUACUGACACUGAGGAACGAAAGCAUGGGUAGCGAAGAGGAUUAGAUACCCUCGUAGUCCAUGCCGUAAACGAUGUGUGUUAGACGUUGGAAAUUUAUUUUCAGUGUCGCAGCGAAAGCGAUAAACACACCGCCUGGGGAGUACGACCGCAAGGUUAAAACUCAAAUGAAUUGACGGGGACCCGCACAAGUAGUGGAGCAUGUGGUUUAAUUCGAAGAUACGCGCAGAACCUUACCAACACUUGACAUGUUCGUCGCGACUUUAAGAGAUUAAAGUUUUCGGUUCGGCCGGACGAAACACAGGUGCUGCAUGGCUGUCGUCAGCUCGUGUCGUGAGAUGUUGGGUUAAGUCCCGCAACGAGCGCAACCCUCACUUUUAGUUGCCAUCAUUAAGUUGGGCACUCUGAAAGAACUGCCAGUGAUAAGCUGGAGGAAGGUGGGGAUGACGUCAAGUCCUCAUGGCCCUUACGUGUUGGGCUACACACGUGCUACAAUGGUAUCUACAACAGGAAGCAAAACCGCGAGGUUUAGCAAAUCCUUAAAAGAUACCUCAGUUCGGAUUGCACUCUGCAACUCGAGUGCAUGAAGCUGGAAUUACUAGUAAUCGUGGAUCAGCGUGCCACGGUGAAUGCGUUCCCGGGUCUUGUAGA
rnacentral:rRNA from 1 species